rnacentral:rRNA from 1 species
GACGAACGCUGGCGGCGUGCUUAACACAUGCAAGUCGAGCGGUAAGGCCCUUUCGGGGGUACGACGAGCGGCGAACGGGUGAGUAACACGUGGGUGACCUGCCCUUACGCUCUGGGAGUAAGCCUGGGAAACGUGGGUCUAAUACCGGAUAUGACCUCAUGACUCAUGUUGUGGGGUGGAAAGCCUUGUGCGGCUAGGGAGUGGGCCCGGCCGGCCUAUCAGCUUGUUGGUGGGGUAAGUUGCCUACCAAGGCGACGACGGGUAGCCGGCCUGAGAGGG